rnacentral:misc_RNA from 1 species
GUUUUGGUCCGCGGUGGUGGGGUGCGCGCUCCGCAAGUAUACGCGUAUUUAUAUUUCUGAGAGGUUUUAAUUUAUUCGUUAUGAAUGCGGUAGUAAAAGACUGAACAUAAGCUGUGGAUUGGAGCAGCACACCAUCUGGCACCUUCCCUCUUAACCAUGCUGUGGUAUUCAGCAUUUAUCUACAGUGUGAUUCGGUGGGGCUCGGCGUGGGCGCUGGUGUGCACCGGAAGUGAUUUUUCCUGUGACGGCGGCAGCCAGUGUCUGGCGCCGCGGAAGCUCUGCGACCAGUCUGCCGACUGCGCUGAUGGCAGCGAUGAGGGCUCGUGCGAGGCCGGCUCGCGGGUUUGUCCGGCCGGCCAGACGCCCUGCAGCGACCACCGGCUGUGCGUGCACCUCGACUGGCGCUGUGACGGCGUGCCCGACUGCCCGGACGGCUCGGACGAGAUGGGAUGUGCCGCGCCGCAGCGCAGACGCUGCGUGCCGGGCCAGGUGCAAUGCCGGGGCGACGGCCGCUGCCUGGACGUUCUGUACCGCUGUGAUGGCACCCCGGACUGUGAGGACGGAUCGGACGAGAUUGGCUGCGCAGCGCCGUCGUCGCCGUGCGGCCGGGAGGGCUUCUGGUGUCCGCACCGGUCGUUCUGUAUCGCCGCGUCUCAGCAGUGUGACGGCCGGGACGACUGCGGUGACGGCUCGGAUGAGUUUGGCUGUAACAUCACCUGUCCUGUCGGAGGGAUGAGGUGUCAGACGAUGUGUAUCGAAGCCAGCUGGGUUUGUGACGGUAGUCCCGACUGCGCCGACGGAAGGGACGAAGAGGGCUGUGCGACGCUGCAGCCGCCGCCGCCCUGUGCCGCCGACCAGUUCACCUGUGAUAGCGGCAUGUGUAUUCCGAUUGAGGACCACUGUGACAGCCACCCCGACUGCACGGCCGGCGAGGAUGAGCGCGACUGUGAGCCAAACUGCGCUCCCGAGCUGUUCCGAUGUCCGGACGGCACGUGCCUGCCCCAGGAGCAGGUUUGCGACGGCGUGCGACAGUGCGCCUGGGGACACGACGAGGACGACUGCGCCCACCUGGCCCAGUGCCCGCCGUCGGCCCGCUGCGAACACCUCUGUAUCGGCCUGCCCUCGGAUACGGCACCCAACUGCACCUGCCGGCAGGGAUACGCCCUCCAGGCCGACCGCGUCAGCUGUAAGGACGUGGACGAGUGUGCUCUGUCGCGGCCGUGCGGCCACCGGUGUGUGAACACGGACGGCAGCUACCGUUGCAGCUGCGCAGACGGCUACCAGCUGCGCUCGGACGGGCAGACGUGUCGUGCCGGGGCGCCGCCGGCCUCCCUGCUGCUCGCAGAUCGGCACGCCAUCGAACAGCUGACCACGAACGGAGCGCCGGCCGCGCUGGCGCACAAAGGCCUGGCCAACGCCGUCUACCUGGACUUCCACUUCAACAAGGGCCUGCUGUUCUGGAUGGACACGGCGCAGAACGUCAUCUACCGCUCCCUCAUCUCUGGGAACUCGCCGCCAACCACGGUGGUGUACGGCGGCCUGCUGCACCCGGUCGGUCUGGCAGUCGACUGGCUGCACGACCUCCUCUACUGGGCUGACGAGCGGCAGAGUGUCAUCGAGGUCAGUCAGCUGGACGGCCGGCAGCGGCACGCCGUCAUCACCGAGGGACUGGACCGGCCGCGCGCGCUCUGUCUGCACCCAGAGCGGGCGCUGCUGUUUUGGACAGACACCGGCGAGGAGGCUCGUAUCGAGCGUUCGCACGGCGACGGCGGCGGCCGGCGGACCAUCAUCAGCGAGGAGCUGUUCUGGCCGAACGGACUGACCAUCGACUAUCCGACGGAGCGUCUCUACUGGAACGACGCCAAACUGAACAGCAUCUCCAGCUGCCUGCUGGACGGCUCCGACCGGCAGCAGGUGGUCCGUCGCGGCGCGCCCCACCCGUACGGACUUACCGUGUUCGAGGACACUCUCUUCUGGACCGACUGGAAGACGCACGCGCUGCACGCGGCCGACAAACGACACGGGAACCGUGCCCACGCGCUCCGCACGGGCCUGGAGCACCCCAUGGAUGUGCGCGCCGUACACCCGCUCCGCCAGCCGGGCACGCGCAGUCGCUGUCUGCCCGCGGCCGGCUGCUCCCACCUGUGCCUGCCGCGGCCGGACGGUCAUACGUGCGCCUGUCCCAGCGGCCUGCGGCUGAAACCUGGAAGCACCUCUGGCUGCGAGUCGGAGCCGGCCACCGGUCUUCUGGUGGCCUCCAAUGGCACACUGCAGGUGGCACCAGUGCUGGGCGGCGGCCGGUGGCACCUGGUACCGCUGCUGGGCCCCGGCCGGCCGUCGGCGGCCGCCGCCGACCGCCGACACACGCUCUACUGGGCGGACGCGGAUGGUGGCUGUCUGCGGAGCGCCUUCUGGAACGGAUCGCAGCACCGGUGUCUGGUGGACGCCAACCUCGGUAACAUCACGGGCCUGGCCGUGGACUGGCUGUCGGGCCUGCUGUACUGGGCUGACGCCGGCCUGCGGCGGCUAGAAGUGGCCCGGACUGACGGCCGACACCGGCGACUGCUGGUGGCCGACGGUAUCGACAGCCCCACCUCGCUGCUGCUCAAUCCGACCGCCGGAGUGAUGUUCUGGUCGGACACCGGCGGCUCCUCGGCCCGUAUCGAGCGAUCCGCCAUGGACGGCUCGGGACGCUCGGUCCUGCUGCGCGGUGGACAGCUGGCGGCGCCCACUGGACUGGCUCUGGACGACACCGCCACCACACUCUACUGGUGCGACGAGAAACUCGGCACUGUGAGCGCGGCGCGUCUGACGCCGUCGGGCGGCGCCGGUCCGGUCCGUACCCUGUACUCUGGCCAGCGGCGGCCCAUGGCGCUGGCCGCGGCCUCUGGACGCCUCUUCUGGAUCUUGGCCGGCGCAGAGACGGUGGUGAACGGUAGCGCCAGCGCCGGCGGUCCGCCGCCCGCCCCGCUGUCGGCGGCGCUGGGCCCGCCGCUGGCUCUGGCGGUGCUGGGAGCGGGACAUGGCGCCGGUGACAAGGAGAGCCCGGUCGGUCCGUGCGGUACGGAUAACGGCCGCUGCUCGCACCUGUGUCUGCCGACUCCCAACGGACCCGUCUGCAGCUGUCCCACCGGCGUACCGAUGUCGUCCGACGGCUGGAGCUGCCAGUCGGGCCCCGCUCUCAGCCUGGUGUUCAGCCGCGGCUGGGAGGUGCGCCGACUCUCUCUGACCCAGCCGGCCUCCGUGGAUACGGUGCUGCCCCUGCCGCGCUCCGCACACGUCACCGCCAUGGCCUGGGACCCGCGCACAGACCGCCUGCUAUACGCUGACGCCGGUGGCGGCCGACGUCGCAUCAUCAGCAGCUCGAUGGACGGCCUCAAGUCUCACGUCAUCGUCGCGCACGACCUGGGUGACGUGGCAGACAUAGUCAUCGACGACAUCGGCGGAAAGAUAUUCUGGACGGACCGGACGCGCGCCAGUGUGGAGGUGUGCUCCCUGGACGGCCAGCUCCGUCAGCUGGUGGUACACAGUCGGCUGCGCAGCCCGCGCGGCCUGGCACUCUCCCAUCGGCACGGCCUGCUGUUCUGGUCCGACUGGGGCCGGCCGCAACAGAUCGAGAGCGCAUGGAUGGACGGCACCCACCGCGCUGUGGUCGUGGCGGAGGGCGUCGGCCGUCCGUGCGGUCUAGUGGUGGAUGCCUCUUCCGACCGACUGUUCUGGGUCGACCACCAGCUGGGCACCGUCGAGUCGGCCGCCCUCAACGGCUCCGAGCGGGUUACACUGGUCUCAGAUCUCUCCCGUCCGUCCGGACUGGCCGUCCACCACGGUCGGCUCUACUGGACCGAGGAGACGGCAACAGAGGGUGCUGACGGCGGCUCCGUCCGCGCCCGGGACAUAUCAGGCACCUCAGCGACACCCGAGACCCUCACCCGGCCACUCACUAACCUGGGACACAUUAUGAUGCUGGAGCGUGACGCGGCCAUGUUGCGCUAUGUGUGUGGCGGCGGUGACAACGGCGGCUGCUCGGGCCUCUGCCUGCGCAUCCCCACGGGCCGGAGCUGUGUGUGCGGUACGGGACUGGUGCCACAGCCGACCGACGCCGGUGCCAGCUGCCCCGACCGGCCGGCCAGAAUGCUGCUCUACCUGACACUCAAUAGCGUGGCGCGUGUUUCUCUGGACGUAAGCCAGCCAUGGGACGUGACGUUGCCGGUGACGGACGUCUACAACGCCGCCCACCUGGACUUUGUGGCCGAGGAGAACGCCGUCGUGUACUCGGACCGCCGACUGAACCAGAUCAGGGUGGUGGACAUCCGCACACCGGCCACCACUCCUCCUCGCACCGUACUGGAGUCGGCCGACGUGUGGCCCGAGGGGGUGGCCGUCGACCGGUCGGCUCGGCUGGUGUUCUUCACGGAGGCGCGUGGCCCGAGCGUGUCUGUGGUGGCGCUGAGCGGCUGCUGCCGGCGGCGGCUGAUCGCUGACGGCCUCUCCCGGCCCGGCGCCGUGGCGGUGUGGCCCCCGGCUGGCCUGCUGGUCUGGGUCGAGCAGCAGGGACCGCCCCGUAUAGAGUCGGCCAGACUGGAUGGAUCUGAGAGGCGCCGGCUGGUCACCGAGCGUCUGUCGGCGCCCACCGGACUAGCGCUGGAGGGAGACAGGAUGUACUGGGCGGACUCUGAGCUGCACACGCUCGAGUCUGCCGACCUGGCCGGCGGUAACCGGCGGGUGCUCGUCUCCAGCGCCGGACACCCCUUCGGCGUCACAGUCAGCUGGAGCGUAUAAUGGACGUGGUGGCCGUGUCUACUGGUCGACCGGCCGGCUCCACUCCCUGUGCCCAGGAGAACGGUGGCUGCUCGCACCUGUGUCUGUACCGCGGCGGAGGGAGCCUGGUGUGCGCCUGCCCGGACACUCCGGACGGUCGGGCGUGCGACACCACGCCGCACUAUCAGAGUCAGCCGAGCACCGCCGCCGGUCUGAGCGGGGUCAGCACGGCGCUGCUGGCCGCCGGCGGGCUGCUGCUGCUGCUGCUCGCCGUACUGCUGGCCGUGCUCUUCAGACGCUCACGGAUGGCGCAGCGCGCCCCGGACCGAGAGGCCACCCUGACCUUCAGCAACCCCACGUACAACUCGUCGGCGUCUGACUUCAGCAGCGAGAAACGCUUCUCGUGGAGGAAGGCCAAGUACGACAGGUCCCAGGAGCCGCCGCCGGCCGGCCAGUCGUCCGGCACGGCUUCCCUGGAGGCUGCCGCGCUCAUUAACGGAGUGAUGGCGGACCACAACAGCUCGACGCCGCUAGCCAGCUCCCCGAGCCUGCAGCACUGAGCUGGGUACUCCGGAAUGGUCCCUAUCAGUCUGAGAUGGUCCUCCCCGGGCUGUGGGAUCCUCCCUGGUCCUUUGGCAGGCCAUCUGGCUCACGCCAGUCUAUAAAAACCACCGUGGUCUCCUGGUCCGUAACUGAUUAGUCAUCGGACGACUCCAGAUAUUUGAAGAUUGACCACGGCUCUCUCAAUCAAUCAACAGCAGUAAAGUUGUGACAUGUGGGGCUGGAAGGGUAGAGGUUCAGUCCCGUAAGUAGGCGCUCCAGUCCAGGUAGUCAAAAAGGCAGGGACGAGUCUCAAACAUGGCGAACUCGCGCCGUCACAGGCCGGAUAGUCCCGACGGCGGCCGGGCUAGUGAUAACUGUGCGAGCUUGAUGUGCGAGCUUUCCGGCCGAUACUGGGCCAGGCGGGUGUGCCGGGCUGCUUUGCUCAAAGCCGCGGCGCAGACUGUGUCUAGACUAGAGUAGCUGUAUUCCUGUCGUGUAUUCAUGGGGCCGAUUUUAAAACAUGUGGCAGAGGCGGCUCCUACGGGUCGCCAGGCUUUCAUUGUGGAGUAGCUCAAUUUAUUUAGCAACGUGCGUUGCAUUAUCGUGAUGGUGUGUAGAGCACAGGAACUACGAGGCGGUUGAGGCAGUUAAGGAAUUGCCACGAUGGACUGAUUACUGAUAAGAACAAUGCGACUAUUGGGAUUAUUGUCAGGGCUGUUAAUGUUACGUGCUGCUUUCUGCGUCAUAUAUCAACGUUUGCCAAGUCACGUGGCUAUUGGGAUGAUGGAACUGGCUUGAUUAGUAUUUAUUUGUGCCAGUUAUCUUCGAACCCCACUCACACAAGGGGUGUUGUAAUACGCUGACGCUAUAUUUGAUAUCUAGUCUUACGAGGAGCUUAUGUAAGGGAGCACCGGUGGGUCCGAUGCGUUUACUUUGACAGUGCCAAACUGUAAUUGAGCUUAUUUGCUCUGGAUAUAUCAGUGCAUGAUGCGUAUUAUUUAUGUUUACGUGAUUUUUACAUAUAGCUCACGUUCAGGUGCUUCAAUGUAACGAUUUAUUCCUGUAUUUUGCUUUCACGGAUGGGCUGCAUUGUCGCGGUGUUGGACAUUUUGUUGUUGGUAUGCUCUGUGAUCGUUGUUGCUGUCUGUUGCGGCGGACAUCGGGGAGUCCCCAGCCGCGCGGCUGACCGCAGUGUCACUCAGUGUCUGCGCGUGCUCUGGGCGCUGCCGUCCCACCGGCGGCCGGUAUUCAGUGUGGCGGUGUGGUCCCACGCUGUGUUCGCCCGUUGCCGCUCGGCGCGGUGGGCGAACAUCGAGGAGAUCUCGGGUAGUGUUGUAAGCCGCUGCUGUUGUCGUCACCGGCUGUAUGGAAACGGGGGAUGCGUUGAACCGUUGGAAGCUUUCUGACACCCGUACUCAGCUGCACUUUUCAAACGUACUCCGCCCCAUUGUCCAUCGAAUCUCGGUCCCAUGUCACACUUACCCUUCAGACGGCCUAAAUCGCUGAAUGAAUUGUCAUAUUAUCUAAAUAUCAGUCAGCCGGUCAGUGGAGUCCUCGGCUGACUGGCUGGAUCUCCCGAGAAAGUUGUGCACCGCCCGGGGUCGUCGCUCCAUCGCCCGGCGCUGCACCGUUCUUCGUUCGGUGUCGGUCGGAACUCGGAGCUCACUGUGCAGCUGCUUGAAGUGCUCUGUGCUCGGUGGUAGCGUUGGGAAGGUUGUUGUCGGCGCUCUGGUUGUGACGUGCUACGUACUGUUUGUCGGCGCUCUGUUUGUCGCCAGGUGUUAUCAGCAGCUGCUGUGUUUGUUCGGUGUUUGUCGGUGGAGAAUAGGGGAUUUAUCGGGUGCACCAACACCUCUUACUGCCAAAUACACUGUCUCAAAAUGUUGCAAAAAAAUCGAAAUAGUUGAUUGUGAUAUUAAGUGAAGCAUAUUAGUAGCAAAAGCCAUUCUCUGGGCGUUUUUCGCGAUUCUCCAUUUGUAGCGAUGGCAGUAACUGGAUCGCUGAUUGUCAGCUACAUGUUGGCCGGCGCGGCGUUAGCAGUGUUUUCAGCAACUGUGUUGGGUCGGUGUUCGCAGCUGCAACUGUGUUAGGCUGGUGUUCUCAGCUGCAGCUGUGUUAUGCCAGUGUUAGCACUUAGCAGCUGUGUUAGCAGUUGCGUUAUGCCAAUGUUGCAGCAGUCGCUGCUGGGCUCGCCUGUGCUAUCAACCAGCUGUUUCGCUGGUGUUAUCAGCUGUGUUCCGUCGGUGUUAGCAGCUGUGUUCUGCCGGUGUUACAGCUGUGUUCCGCCGUGUCCGCGCGAUGUUCUCAUUGUGCCUGCCGCUGCGGAGGUUCAGUGUUUCUCUUCUAGUUACGAUGCUCUCUUUAGGCGAAUCUUCCAAGAAGAUCUGUAAACAUUCCAAGUGUGACGAUGGUAGGCCCGCCGGGCGAGCUAGCCAUGAUCUGUGACGCACCUGUCUGCCGUUGUCGGACGAUGUUGUCAAUGUGAUUUGGUCGAGGGUGGACAAGUGAACAGAGAUGCGACUGCUAGCGUUGCAGACGUGGAAGGCGCGACAGAUUGAUGGAUCGUGCGCUAAGGCGCUGUGUCAUAUUCAACGAGUACCUUCUCCCUGACGAGCGGAUGUCUCUCAGUUUCCCCUCCCGACCUCUCUGGCAGUCUGCCGGGAGGAGACGGUCGGUAGAGUUCCGUCUUCGGUAGGAAGUCCAGCUCAGCUCCUUGCCAAAGCGGCGCGCGGAGUCGCGGUAGUGCAACAUGUAGCGCGCGUCGCUAUCAGUCCGGUGACCUCUCGGGCUCUAUCGCGCCUCUCCGGCCGCUCAUGCAACUGCUCGGGUGGCUUUUGUGACAGAUGCUUCAGAUGUGCAUAAUAUAUUUGUGCGAAAUAAAUCAUCAAAACCUA